UGAUUUUCAAGACAGGGUUUCUCUGU
rnacentral:piRNA from 1 species